UACACUGUAGCUUCCUUCAGA
rnacentral:misc_RNA from 1 species